UCAUCCCUGCGAUGUGCGUGAUGGGCUUCAAAGUUGAGCCAACGCCACUUGAUAGGGAAUCGGACAAUACGCAGAGGGGAUGUAGUAGCCUAGCGGCCAGGCAGAGUCCUCGCGAAAACGUUCCCACCUGCAUAAGCAGGUUCAAGCAUCUGAGGUUCACACGGCAUGGCGGGGUGUC
rnacentral:other from 1 species